ensembl:lncRNA
GUGUGGUUUGAGAGCAGAGAGAGGGGUGAGGUAUGGUGUGAGAGCAGAGAGAGGGGUGAGGUAUGGUGUGAGAGCAGAGAGAGGGGUGAGGUAUGGUGUGAGAACAGAGAGAAGAGUGAGGGGUGAGGUAUUGUGUGAGAGCAGAGAGAAGAGAGAGGGGUGAGGUAUUGUGUGAGAGCAGAGAGAGGGGUGAGGUAUGGUGUGAGAGCAGAGAGAAGAGAGAGGUGGGGUAUGGUGUGAGAGCAGAGAGAGGGGUGAGGGGUGAGGUAUGGUGUGAGAGCAGAGAGAAGAGAGAGGUAUGGUGUGAGAGCAGAGAGAAGAGAGAGGGGGUGAGGUAUGGUGUGAGAGCAGAGAGAGGGUUGAGGAAUGGUAUGAGAGCAGAGAGAAGAGAGAGGGGUGAGGUAUUGUGUGAGAGCAGAGAGAGGGGUGAGGUAUGGUGUGAGAGCAGAGAGAGGGGUGAGGUAUGGUGUGAGAGCAGAGAGAGGGGUGAGGUAUGGUGUGAGAGCAGAGAGAAGAUAGAGGUGUGAGGUAUGGUGUGAGAGCAGAGAGAAGAGAGAGGUGUGAGGUAUGGUGUGAGAGCAGAGAGAGGGGUCAGGUAUGGUGUGAGAGCAGAGAGAGGUUUGAGGUGUGGUGUGAGAGCAGAGAGAAGAGAGAGGGGUGAGGUAUG